rnacentral:rRNA from 1 species
GUGGGGAAUCUUCCGCAAUGGACGAAAGUCUGACGGAGCAAUGCCGCGUGAGUGAAGAAGGUUUUCGGAUCGUAAAGCUCUUUCGUUAGGGACGAACGUGCUCUUUGUGAAUAAUGAGGAGUAAUGACGGUACCUAAAUAAGAAGCCACGGCUAACUACGUGCCAGCAGCCGCGGUAAUACGUAGGUGGCAAGCGUUGUCCGGAAUUAUUGGGCGUAAAGCGCGCGCAGGCGGGAUAUCAAGUCUGUCUUAAAAGUGCGAGGCUCAACCUCGUGAGGGGACAGAAACUGGUAUUCUUGAGUGUCGGAGAGGAAAGUGGAAUUCCAAGUGUAGCGGUGAAAUGCGUAGAGAUUUGGAAGAACACCAGUGGCGAAGGCGACUUUCUGGACGAUGUCUGACGCUGAGGCGCGAAAGCUAGGGGAGCGAACGGGAUUAGAAACCCGUGUAGUCC